AGUGGCGGACGGGUGAGUAACGCGUGAGAAUCUGCCUUCAGGUCGGGGACAACAGAGGGAAACUUCUGCUAAUCCCGGAUGAGCCUUAGGGUAAAAAAUUUAUUGCCUGGAGAUGAGCUCGCGUCUGAUUAGCUAGUUGGUAAGGUAAAAGCUUACCAAGGCAACGAUCAGUAGCUGGUCUGAGAGGAUGAGCAGCCACACUGGGACUGAGACACGGCCCAGACUCCUACGGGAGGCAGCAGUGGGGAAUUUUCCGCAAUGGGCGAAAGCCUGACGGAGCAAGACCGCGUGGGGGAGGAAGGCUCUAGGGUUGUAAACCCCUUUUCUUUGGGAAGAACAAAAUGACGGUACCAAAGGAAUCAGCCUCGGCUAACUCCGUGCCAGCAGCCGCGGUAAUACGGAGGAGGCAAGCGUUAUCCGUAAUGAUUGGGCGUAAAGCGUCCGCAGGUGGCAAUGUAAGUCUGCUGUCAAAACCCAGGGCUCAACUCUGGUCAGGCAGUGGAAACUACAUAGCUAGAGUUCGGUAGGGGCAAAGGGAAUUCCCGGUGUAGCGGUGAAAUGCGUAGAGAUCGGGAAGAACAUCGGUGGCGAAAGCGCUUUGCUAGACCGAAACUGACACUCAGGGACGAAAGCUAGGGGAGCGAAUGGGAUUAGAUACCCC
rnacentral:rRNA from 1 species